AUCUGCAGUAUGGUCAUGAAACAAUUCACUUCCGAAUGAAAGACAGUUGUCAAACGAUUAUUCAGUUCUCAUUCAUCGAAGGUUUGGUCUUAAAAGAAAUUUAUUUAUUAAAACUAGACUAGACUUGGCCCAUCCUUAAAGGUGGCAUUAAUAUAUAAUGAAAGGACGGAAUAAAUUUUGUCUGCGCUCCAAGUACAUCUGGCCUAUGCCUGUAAAAUUAAUUGUCUCUUGAAGAGUAAGACUGGUGAUAGCUUUCUUUGCACUUCUGCGGACCACAUUCUCUUGCAUAUGCUAAGUUGAGGACCUGGAGGCUAGGGUAUGGCGUUCCCGCCAAAAAUCAAACUUGCGACAAAGAAUUUCAUGCAUCAAGAAUAAACUUCAGUCGAAUCGUCGGGUUUUCCCUGACUUGGACGCGGGGGAACUCGCUUCAAUUUCAUUCAACUCUGAGAACGUCCACCCCCAAGAUACUUUGCAAACAUGCAAACAAGUAUUGGAGCGAGAGAGGAACCCAGUAGAGCAAUGCUAUAGCAAUGUGAACUAAAUGCAAAAUGUGCAUACGUUUAGUAUACACUUUUAUUGGUUCUUGUUGGAUUAACACAAGCAAAUACAUUAUGGACUUUAUUUUACAACUGUUUAAAUUCUCGUCUACCUAUGUGUAACGUCUCUUGAAUACGACUGUCAUAUGUCACAGUGUGCGUGCAACUGGACUCAAAAUCCAUCGAGAUAUGAAUAACAAUUGAACAGCCGCCAUCGGUUGAUCUAACAAGAGAAGCUAAUGAGGAAAUGCUUUGUUAUCGUCAACCAAGAUGGUGGUUAUGACGAUGCUAUAUACUGUCAUUUUAUAUAUCGUUACACUACACGGUGUGAGCGUUGCGUGACGACACUAAAAACGGCAGCGGCUAGGCAGAGGCUACGAAGGUUCUUUAGGUCAGCCCAUCGAGUUCCAGCUCUAGAGGAAGCGGCAUGCAUCCCCACUACUAUAACCAAGAUCACUGCAUAUAUAAUGUGCAUUAUGCAUACUAAGCAUUAGCACUCACUUAAGGUUGGUACGCUAGCAUAUGUCAUAAAUGUGUACAUGGUUUAGUUUGUUCAUGUGAAUAACUUGCAUAUUUAUCUAGGGUGUAUAGGCUUUUAUUUGGUUUUGCAUUCCAAUGUAGUUACGUAAGAAUUGUAAUGUUUUAACUUUUUCUAGGAUGAUUUGAGGGUAAGUUUAGGUUGGUCGUUCUUAGAAGGUGUGGUAGUCUGAGGUUGGGCAUAUUUAGGGACAAAAGGAAACAUAGUAUUAAUUUUUGGAGUUUAUUCUUUCUUCAUUGUAAGCCGAGAACUCAUUGGAGCGUGAUCGCGAUCAUCAGUCAAUUCUGAUUAAAAAUCUCUGUAUGUUAGGACGAAGUACGACAUAGAAUGACGUAGAAACUUGACUAUAAAUUUAAAAUAAGAACAUGCGUAAUAAGUAAAUUACGAGCCUUAGAUGAAACGACUGAAGAAGAGUGCCAUACAAGCCUUUCACAACUUCAAGUCGCGUAAAAAAUGAGCCAGCUCAACUAGAAACUGUGGACAGCUGUUUCGGCCUGUAUUGGGCCUCGUCAGCACAGUAAAUUUAAAAGAGAAGUUCGUCGGCUUUUAUUUGAUCUUAGAAUAUGGGGAAUAAGCCGAAUAGAGCAAUUAGUUCGUGGCAAAUUUGCCAUUAGGCGGUAUGGCUUAUAUUAUAACAGCAUAGAGCAAUUAUUUCUUGAUUAAUUAACUGUCGAUAUGGACUUCUGAUGGCUUUGUUUGAGUACGAACAGUCAAUUCAAUGAUACAGUAGUACUCAGUGAUAAAUUGUGGCGCCUAAAUAUUGUUCAGCCGGUUAUGAAACGUUCCCGUUUUUGGUUCGGCUUAAUUUUAAAGCGAUUCAAUAUUCAUUGAUAUAAUACAAAUCUCUGUGCGAUUUCGCUUUCGUUUAUAGGCUAUGUUUUGUCUAAUCACUGAAUGCUCAUCAUUAGUCGCGACGCUUCUGCGACGCUAUUGAUGGUUGGGAAGUAUCUGAACUCGUUUUUCGUUUUGGGCUGCCUGUAUUAUCAACCAACAUAUGGCGGUGCUGUUUCAUUAUUAUCCAGUAUCUCGCAGAGGGAUUUUCACCCCAAGUGCAAGCUGCAUGCAUGUUAUAACAAGAGAAACGAUUGGCAAGCCUUCAGUGAAAAAAUCACCGAUAAAGACGCUGCCAGAUGAUAUCCUGGCAAAUUGAGAGAUUAAACGGGCCAUGGUUUCUAGAAUUUUCUGGCUAUGUUUUUAACGACGCGAAAAUUUCAAUUUAUAUUUAUUAAAGUUACAUAAAUAGUAGAUUUAAA